GGCCCCUCGACGACCUCUACCACCACCUCGGCUCCGUCUCGCAGCCAUUAGCACCAAAAUCAGCAACACAAGCGAAAACGCCAUUUUUCCUAUACAAACAUUAACCUUGCAUGAACAAAAAUUUUAAAAAAAAUUCGUAAAAAUAGCGAAAAAAUUUCUAAUAACAUUAGAAUGCAUACAAAAGCUAUUUCUAACCGGAUCAUGCAAAAAAUUUCUAUCAAAAAUGACAUUUUACAAAAAAUCCCGAAAUUACAUGAAAAAUGAAGCUUAGAAUAUGGAUCAGCGAAAAAAAAUGUGUUUUGAUGUGAU
rnacentral:lncRNA from 1 species